rnacentral:misc_RNA from 1 species
GAUGAAGAACGUAGCGAAAUGCGAUAAGUAAUGUGAAUUGCAGAAUUCAGUGAAUCAUCGAAUCUUUGAACGCACAUUGCGCCCGCCAGUAUUCUGGCGGGCAUGCCUGUUCGAGCGUCAUUACAACCCUCAGGCCCCCGGGCCUGGCGUUGGGGAUCGGCGGAAGCCCCCUGCGGGCACAACGCCGUCCCCCAAAUACAGUGGCGGUCCCGCCGCAGCUUCCAUUGCGUAGUAGCUAACACCUCGCAACUGGAGAGCGGCGCGGCCACGCCGUAAAACACCCAACUUCUGAAUGUUGACCUCGAAUCAGGUAGGGAUACCCGCUGAACUUAAGCAUAUCAAUAAGCGGAGGA